rnacentral:sRNA from 1 species
CGCUGCGUUCGAUGUGCCGGUGAGCACAUUA